rnacentral:rRNA from 1 species
AGAGUUUGAUCCUGGCUCAGAACGAACGCUGGCGGCAGGCCUAACACAUGCAAGUCGAGCGAUCCUUUCGGGGAUAGCGGCGGACGGGUGAGUAACGCGUGGGAAUGUGCCCUUCUCUACGGAAUAGCCUCGGGAAACUGGGAGUAAUACCGUAUACGCCCCUUGGGGGAAAGAUUUAUCGGAGAAGGAUCAGCCCGCGUUGGAUUAGGUAGUUGGUGGGGUAAUGGCCUACCAAGCCUACGAUCCAUAGCUGGUUUGAGAGGAUGAUCAGCCACACUGGGACUGAGACACGGCCCAGACUCCUACGGGAGGCAGCAGUGGGGAAUCUUAGACAAUGGGGGCAACCCUGAUCUAGCCAUGCCGCGUGAGUGAUGAAGGCCUUAGGGUUGUAAAGCUCUUUCAGCUGGGAAGAUAAUGACGGUACCAGCAGAAGAAGCCCCGGCUAACUCCGUGCCAGCAGCCGCGGUAAUACGGAGGGGGCUAGCGUUGUUCGGAAUUACUGGGCGUAAAGCGCACGUAGGCGGACCAGAAAGUUGGGGGUGAAAGCCCUGGGCUCAACCUGGGAAUUGCGAUGGAUACUGGCGAGCUAGAGUACGGUAGAGGAUGGUGGAAUUCCCGGUGUAGCGGUGAAAUGCGUAGAGAUCGGGAGGAACACCCGUGGCGAAGCGGCCAUCUGGACCAGUACUGACGCUGAGGCA